AACAAAAUAACUCAAACCCUAAUUCAUUUUUCACAAAAAUAGCGCACCGUCAUCUCCCUCUUCCUCUCUCCCUAUCAACGAAGACGGAACCCCAGCGUCGCCAGCCGUCGAUAGAAUCCCAGCGCCGCCAGCCGUCACUGCUCCAGCUUCCUCCGUUAAGCCAUCGCUGCUCCAACCGGCAGCCAUCUUCACCAACGCCGGCAGCACCACCAGUCGGUGAAGAAGCCGUCCACCAGCCAGCCGACAACCUUUGUUUAGAGGUAAACUCCAUUAAUUCCAUUAAGAUUAACAUACAAACUGUCGAUAUAUCGAGCUAGUGCUGGUGCGGGGAAGGGGGCAAUGGAAUUGUUCUACUAUGUUGUGUUUGGUGCUAUGGCAGCUAUGGUGGUAGUUCUUGAGCUGGGUGGCAAGACUAACAAAGAUGGAUAACAACUUCACGGGCUUUUAAUUCCUUUAAGAACAAUUACAUUCUUGUUUUCUCUCUUAUGAUAGAUAAUAUGACUCUCAAAAUGAAAAAAAACGAACCAAGUCCAAGUAAAGGAACAAGUGAAGCAGCUAGGCUACAUCCACCACUCUAUGAGCUUGUUUUACAUGUGUUAUCUCAAGCAGAAGCAGAAAAUGAGGAACAUGGGGAGGAGGAAUGUUUAAAAAGAGAUGAUCCAAAUACUAAUAUCCUUCCACCGAAGAGUUAUUCUAAACCUUCAGCAUUGAUAUUUAUCCCGUGAGAAUGCAGUGCGAUGGUGCCACAUAUUUAACAGGUGAUUUCGUGGUUAAGUUAGCCAUGGAAAAAUAUUUCGACUCCUUCAGAAAAUACUUCAAGAAUAAAAAUUGGAUGCUUAUUUCAAGGACAGUUGCUUUGGGAAAUAUCUUGAUUUGCCGAAGGACAACAAUGCUCGUUUCCAAAUGAAAAUGGUAUAUGAUCUUCUCAAGCGUAAGUUUAUGUAUGAAAACAAAGAUAAGAUGGAUGAGGUGUGGAUAAAUUACUGAGGCAUGCUUGUUUGUUUUGGUUGGAAGGAUUUUUCUAUAGUUACUGGACUAAAUUGUUAUCCUCCUUCUCCUUCUCCUUCUUAAGUUACACCCAUUCUAUUCCAAAAAAGGCAAAUGCAAGUUGAGUGAUCAUGAAGACUUGGUGUCCCUUGUUGGUCCAAGCUUCAAAAACAAAAAUUUGCUAGAAGCGUUGAAAGGCUUGGGUGUUUGAAGCCAUAUCUUAUUUGAGACAAGUGAACUACUAGGAAGAAGUUUUCUGUCCAAGAAUUCUGAGAUAGUUGUCGUCCAAAACUAAUAAAAAUGCAAAUUUAUUGGUAUCUUCAACCCCACAAAGGAUGCAGUGAAUGUCAUAGUAGAAGCUACUGCUGAACAACAUUGAUAAUAUGCUACUCUUUUUAUGAAAUACAGGUGAGCAAAAGUGCAGAAAUCGAACGCAAGUGACAUUAAAUAUCCACGACAAUCAAAGUCGAAUUCCAUAGCAUUGGAUGAUGAGCAACUUGUCCAUAUUGAGUAGAUCAUUAUAGCUUGAGUCUUUCAAAGUAAUAAUCUCACCCCUCCUUAGGAAUAGUUAGCAUCAAAACUUAAUUUGUUGAUUUAUUUGUUGAGAUCUGUACCCAUAAUAGUUUUUUUAUAUUUCA